rnacentral:rRNA from 1 species
CAAUAGCGUAUAUUAAAGUUGUUGCAGUUAAAAAGCUCGUAGUUGGAUCUCAGGUGCAGGCUGGCGGUCCACUUUGCGGUGGUACUGCCUGUCCUGACCUACCUCCCGGUUUUCCCUUGGUGCUCUUGACUGAGUGCCUCGGGUGGCCGGAACGUUUACUUUGAAAAAAUUAGAGUGUUCAAAGCAGGCGUUGUGCCUGAAUAUUCGUGCAUGGAAUAAUGGAAUAGGACCUCGGUUCUAUUUUGUUGGUUUUCGGAACUUGAGGUAAUGAUUAAGAGGGACAGACGGGGGCAUUCGUAUUACGGUGUUAGAGGUGAAAUUCUUGGAUCGCCGUAAGACGAACUACUGCGAAAGCAUUUGCCAAGAAUGUUUUCAUUAAUCAAGAACGAAAGUCAGAGGUUCGAAGACGAUCAGAUACCGU